rnacentral:tRNA from 1 species
GCUGAGAUAGUUUAACUGGUUAAAACCUACCACUCAUAACGGUAAGAUAAAGGUUCAAGUCCUUUUCUCAGCU